rnacentral:rRNA from 1 species
UGUGAUUUUAGGUCUCGUUGGUGACCAGCGGAGGGUCAUUACCGAGUUAUACAACUCCCAAACCCACUGUGAACCUUACCUCAGUUGCCUCGGCGGGAACGCCCCGGCCGCCUGCCCCCGCGCCGGCGCCGGACCCAGGCGCCCGCCGCAGGGACCCCAAACUCUCUUGCAUUACGCCCAGCGGGCGGAAUUUCUUCUCUGAGUUGCACAAGCAAAAACAAAUGAAUCAAAACUUUCAACAACGGAUCUCUUGGUUCUGGCAUCGAUGAAGAACGCAGCGAAAUGCGAUAAGUAAUGUGAAUUGCAGAAUUCAGUGAAUCAUCGAAUCUUUGAACGCACAUUGCGCCCGCCAGCAUUCUGGCGGGCAUGCCUGUUCGAGCGUCAUUUCAACCCUCGAGCCCCCCCCGGGGGCCUCGGUGUUGGGGGACGGCACACCAGCCGCCCCCGAAAUGCAGUGGCGACCCCGCCGCAGCCUCCCCUGCGUAGUAGCACACACCUCGCACCGGAGCGCGGAGGCGGUCACGCCGUAAAACGCCCAACUUUCUUAGAGUUGACCUCGGAUCAGGUAGGAAUACCCGCUGAACUUAAGCAUAUCAAUAAGCGGAGGAAAAGAAACCAACAGGGAUUGCCCGUAAAAC